CUCUCGGCAACGGAUAUCUCGGCUCUCGCAUCGAUGAAGAACGUAGCGAAAUGCGAUACCUGGUGUGAAUUGCAGAAUCCCGCGAACCAUCGAGUCUUUGAACGCAAGUUGCGCCCGAGGCCACUCGGCCGAGGGCACGCCUGCCUGGGCGUCACGCCAAAACACGCUCCCAACCACCCUCUUCGGGAAUUGGGAUGCGGCAUAUGGUCCCUCGUCCUGCAAGGGGCGGUGGGCCGAAGAUCGGGCUGCCGGCGUACCGCGUCGGACACAGCGCAUGGUGGGCGUCCUUGCUUUAUCAAUGCAGUGCAUCCGACGCGUAGACGGCAUCAUGGCCUCGAAACGACCCAUCGAACGAAGUGCACGUCGCUUCGACCGCGACCCCAGGUCAGGCGGGACUACCCGCUGAGUUUAAGCAUAUAAAUAAGCGGAGGAGAAGAAACUUACAAGGAUUCCCCUAGUAACGGCGAGCGAACCGGGAACAGCCCAGCUUGAGAAUCGGGCGGCUGUGCCGUCCGAAUUGUAGUCUGGAGACGCGUCCUCAGCGACGGACCGGGCCCAAGUCCCCUGGAAAGGGGCGCCUGGGAGGGUGAGAGCCCCGUCCGGCCCGGACCCUGUCGCCCCACGAGGCGCGGUCAACGAGUCGGGUUGUUUGGGAAUGCAGCCCAAAUCGGGCGGUAGACUCCGUCCAAGGCUAAAUACAGGCGAGAGACCGAUAGCGAACAAGUACCGCGAGGGAAAGAUGAAAAGGACUUUGAAAAGAGAGUCAAAGAGUGCUUGAAAUUGCCGGGAG
rnacentral:ncRNA from 1 species